GAAAUAUUUUAAGAUAUGAAUGUCACAUUUACGGUGUUGUAUUGUUUAUUUGUCUUGUUUGUAUUUUAAAUUUACUGUGAUAUUUGUUCUAACGUUGUUCCUUAGUUUCUUUCAGUUUUCCCAUUCUGCACCUCUUUUCGAACACCCUCUUUGGUACCUCUACAUUACCUGUAUUUAUAUACCUGAGUUUAGGCUUCCGUCCUUCUUAAAAACCGGCUUUCCAAGAUGUAACAGCACGAGCUCUGAUUGACCAAUUUUUACUGUCCAAGUUUUGUAAAGUUAUAAUAUUUUAUAUCCUUAAUACAGACACUGACUUCUGAGGUCCCGUAAUACGUCCUACGUUCCAGGUUACACGUCCUACGUUACGUCCUGUGUUCGGUGUUGUAUGGUGUGUGGUGUAAUGGUUAUGGUUACUGUGGAGCCGGAAUAUAUACUAUGUACAGUUGAUGUAAUCUAGAUAAAUGUGAAAACGCU